AUCUAAAUAAUCAGGUAUACCAUCACCAUCAGUGUCUCCCUCAAGAUGAUCAAGUAUACCAUUACCAUCAUCAUCUUGAUCUAAAUAAUCAGGAAUACCAUCCCCAUCUGAAUCUUCCUCUUUGUCUGGAAUGCCAUCACCAUCAUCAUCAUUAUCUUCAUCAUUUAAAAUGCCAUCACCAUCAAUAUCUUCAUCAAGGUAAUCUGGAAUGCCAU